rnacentral:rRNA from 1 species
GCAGCCGCCGCGGGAAUACAGAGGUCUCAAGCGUUGUUCGGAAUCACUGGGCGUAAAGGGUGCGUAGGUGGCGUGGCAAGUCAGAUGUGAAAGCCCGGGGCUCAACCUCGGAAUAGCAUCCGAUACUACCAUGCUAGAGUACUGAAGAGGUGACUAGAAUUCUCGGUGUGGCAGUGAAAUGCGUAGAUAUCGAGAGGAAUACCAACGGCGAAGGCAGGUCACUGGGCAGUUACUGACACUGAGGCACGAAGGCCAGGGGAGCAAACGGGAUUAGAUACCCCGGUAGUCCCUGUCUCUUAUAC